AGAAUGGAAUUGAGCCAAGGAUGACUUGCCGGUUUAAACACAACCGGAUUAUGACCAUUGAUUUGGUCUCAUUCACAAUCUGUUGAUUCGUGUCUGGCAAGUUGACCUUGGCUCUGCUUCGUUCUCU
rnacentral:pre_miRNA from 1 species